GUGUCAGCAGCCGCGGUAAUACGUAGGGCGCAAGCGUUGUCCGGAAUCAUUGGGCGUAAAGAGCUCGUAGGUGGUCUGUUACGUCUGCUGUGAAAUCCUAGGGCUUAACCCUGGGCCUGCAGUGGAUACGGGCAGACUAGAGGUAGGUAGGGGAGAAUGGAAUUCCCGGUGUAGCGGUGAAAUGCGCAGAUAUCGGGAGGAACACCGGUGGCGAAGGCGGUUCUCUGGGCCUUACCUGACACUGAGGAGCGAAAGCGUGGGGAGCGAACAGGAUUAGAUACCCUGGUAGUCC
rnacentral:rRNA from 1 species